rnacentral:lncRNA from 1 species
CUCACGUCACCCACCAAAUCAGAGAGAGAGAGAAAGCCGCCGGCAAAGGAGGAAGCUGACCUCCGGUGACCGGCCUUGGGUCCAUGAAACUUCGGCGAGUCAGAUCUGUCGUGCAUAUCCCGUUUUGGUGUAACUCCUACCUAUUGCUUCACUGCUCCGGCAACUGAUGAAGGAUUACGGUGGUUUUGGUUUUGAGCUGGUGGUUGAUGAUGAUGGGUUUUUGUUGCUCGCCGAGUGAAACGGGUAGAGGUGAUUCCAACAAGUGGGAUUGUCACAAUUGAUGGGUUUUUGCAGCUGAAAGCAAUUGGGGGUAGUAAUCACCGGUAGCUGAGACGACUGCCGGCGGCAGAAACGACUCCGACAGUCGGACACUGGUCAAGAGAGGAGAGAACCCUCUCGAUUUCAACUUCAACUUCCAAGUUUGGGAUCUCUAAUCUUUUCUCAUCAAAAACUUCCGGUGAGUGAAGGUUUUUGGCAUUUUGAUUAUGAACCAUUGUUGCUGCAACUCUGCAAGGGACACUUUGGGGACACUUUGGGUCAGGUAGUCAUCUUUGGUAGUUGGAGCUUUGGUUCUUAAAGUGUAAGGCUUGAUUCACAUAGGAGAGACACUCUCAGUGCAAUUGUACAUCAAAUACAUAAUUCCAUUCUUAUUUAUGUUGAUGCGGAGGCUUAACGAUUUACGCCAUCCCGCAGGUCGGUAUUAAUUCGAGUUCAUCUACGUUUCACGUCAUGUGAGUCACUUGAUCGUUUUUCCGGUUUUGAUCAUCGUUGGGUUUCUAUUUAGCAUGUUUUUUCGCCCCCACCUCUAAUUGCACAGUUUUACGCCCCCCCCCCCCCCCCCGCCCCGCAACGCGGGGGGCUCAAUUCUAGUUCAUAAACAUUACCCGUAGCUGAAUUCCAGAUAAAAACGCCAAUUUUCCACUUCACGAGGGUCAACCUUAUUUAUUUGCAUUCAUACCAUAGAGAGUUGCCAUAAAUGAAAAAUAUGAAAUGAAAAAUAAAAAAAAAAAAAAAAACCGUCAUGGGCAUGCCUUAUUUCAUGGCUCAAGAGUUUACCAACAUAUUGUAGAAAAAAGUACAUCACAAGAUAGUUAUGUCCCAAGACCUGACCAGAUAGUGUGGUAACUGUGCAUUGCAGUAAAACAGCCAAUUAGAGACCCAAAAAGAUAUAAACUUUAAUGGAUAUUCUGAAUUACAAGAUAAACUACUAGGGAGGUUAAAUUUUCUCAUUUUGCAAAGUGAUAACACAAGGUUAACAUGAAAUUCGCUCCACCAAACGCAAGCAUCUGAUCUAUUAUCGAUUGGAGCUCAUAUCCAAUGAUGAUUCGAUAUCAAUUCACAUAAUCAGUUUCAAGCGCACAACUAAAUCUCCCCUAAUGCUAGCCUUUUGCUUUGAUAUUGGUAGAAGUACUCGUUAAAGAUAUCGCAAAUCCAACAUUUUUGGGUGUACUUCCCACACUCAGCAUUGUUACACUUUCUUAUUGAUUUACUGUUAAAAAUAUUCGUAUUUAUCCGGUAUAAACGUGCCUUUUUAUAUUUCCUUUAUUUAUUUUUAUUUAUUUCCUUUUAUUUAUUUUUAUUUAUUUUUAACCUUUUUAUUUAUCUUUGGUUGUGAGGUUUGGUCUAUCAAGUUUGGGCUGCUGGCUUUGGGUUCUAUCAAGGUGGAUUGCUGACUUGGGCUUAUAGCCGCUGUGUCUUGUCGGGCUGCCAGCAUGGGCUCCUGUGUUGUCGCUUAGGGUUUGCCAAGAUAAAAAAGGGGGCUUGGUCCCUUGGCUUACGCAUUCGAGCAUCUCAUUCUCUUGUUCAUCAUUUCGUUGCUCUCUGCUUUGUUUCCCUAUCCUCACAUGUACAUUCGUGAGUCUAGGGUUUGUCUAUUACUUGUACCGAUCAUCCUGUUGGAGAUUUUUUUUGCUCUUUUGUUCGUUGUUAAUCUGUGAUGACAGAUUUGUUCAAUCAUUGUAUUUGGUGCUAAGUUUUCAUAAUAAAAUUGUUUGAUUCUUG